rnacentral:lncRNA from 1 species
UUUGAUUUAAUUAACUUUGGAUUACAAAUUACAAACUCAAUUUACAACUAUCAGUAGAGUGCAUAGUUUACACAACCACCUUUUAGGAAGGGUUAUGUUUCAACCAAGUAUCGAAUGUAAUACUUAUAAGGAGCAGUUGAGUUAUUUGGAUAGUAUUUAUUAUUUAAGAUAAAAUAUUAGUUAAUUAGAACUUGAUCGAAAUUGAAAUAAAUCAGUACGGUACACCGGUAUCAAACCUCGAUAAUGUGCCGUUCUAUGUCCCGAUUUAGAAUAUUCCUUUUCAUCCCGUAGACAAUCGAACUGAAACGAACCACGACAAUAGCAAAAUCGAUAUCGAUACAUCCCAUUCUGUUGCCUGGCCUUAGCGGGAUUCAGUGACGAAGACAUAAUUUUAUUAUAAUAUAUAUAAUAAAAUAAUAUUAUCUGAAAUAAUAUCAAAUAAAUAUUAAGACUAUAUGUUUACCUCAAAAGAGAGAAAAUUUUAAUAUUUUGUAGGAAAAAAAAUUAUACAUUCGAUCGAUGAGAAUUAUAUAAUGAAUACUUUUAUUCUUUAGAUAAAUUGAAGAAUUAAUAAAAGGAUAAGGAACAUAUCGUAUGGUCCUCGAGUAAAAUGUCACAUUGGUUGGUUACCUAGAGACAAAUUUUGUCAGUGCAUAUGAGAAACUAUAGCAUGACAUUUAUAGACUUUAAAUAGAUAAUAGAAAAUAACACAUAUAUUUCACUUCGAAAAAAGUGAAAUACACUGUAUAUACGAUAGUAACAAAGAGAUAUCUUUAUUAAAAUCUGAUUAAAUUUAGAUUUAUAUCGUGUUAGAAAAACAUGUAAAUGUUAACUUUUGAAGGAAAUAUAUUUUAUCUCUUGAUACAACUUAGACAUGUUUAUGAAUAAUAUAUAUUGAUUAAAUUGACAAAGUGAGAUGUCUAACUAUAGAACAAAUAACAAAUAGUCACAGAUAUACCUCUAAUGUUAUGGAACAAACACUAUUGAGUAGUUUUCAGUGGAGAAUUAUGAACCUGGUGAACAAUCAACUUUUGGGAAGAAUUUAUAUAUGAUUUAUUCUUUCAAACUUAAUUAUAUUCCAAAUUGAAAUAAAAAAAUAAUAUAAAGAUCUUUAAGUGAAAAAAUUAGUGCAAGAAUAAACAUCUGAUGAUUUUGUCACAUGGGAGGUAGUCCCAAUAAAAAAGCUAAUAGAGAAAAAUCUUAUGUUAAAAGAAAAAAGUUGCAAGUUUAUCCACUAACCUUUUCUUUUGAAUAAUAUUGCAGACCAUAAUAUUAGAAGAAAAAAAACUACUACAUUACUUUAAUCUUCAUAGAGUUUUCAAUGCAUGGUUUGGAUCACGUGAACUUGAUUGGCUUAUUAAAGUUCGAUUGAAUUUAAAUUUAUAUAUUAUAAGGUAAUAUUUUUAAAAAUGUUUUUAUUUAUAUAUUUAUCUCAAAAUUUUCGAUACCAAACUUAGGUAGGCCCAAUAUAUUUAAAGUAACUUGAUGGGCAGUGUAUAUUCUCAAACUCAAUGGCCUAUUCAGAAGAACCAAUCAUAAAUCCUCAAAUGGCUUCUUCACUGAAAUUUCUGACCAAAUUGACCCCACACACCAUGCUUUUCUAUUUCCUUUUUCUUUUGGAAUAGUACAUUUUUAGCUCAAAUUAACCUUAAUUAUUUUUAGAUGAAAUGAUUAUUAAUGAUGAAUGACUGUUCUAAUUUGUGAGUGAUAUUUAUUUAUUCAAAAGUAAAAAUAAAGUGUGGUUCACAUCAAUUCAUUCCAAAAAAAACUGUAAUAACCUGGCUUGAUUCUAAUCUAACUCAUAAUUAGAGAUUUUAAAAGAAAUAAAUUGCAAAAGGAAACUCUAGAAUCGGAUAAAUUGAUGACAGUUUCAUUAAAAACAAUAUAUAAUUAGGAGAAGGCCAUAUUAAACAGUUAGAUAUUUAAUACUAUUAUUUAAAGCUUUUAAAGUCUAAAACAUAUUAGCUCAUACAAAGAGUGAAAAUAAUUGACUAGGUAAUUAGAGCAGUUGAAUAAAACAUGAAGAUUUUCAUACCUUUUGACCAAAAUUUCUUCUUUUUUUUUUUCCUCCAACUAAUUAAUUACCUAUAUAUAAGAAAUUGUGAAGUAUAAAUACAUUCUUUCUCCCCAUUUUAUCUUAGG